AGUGAACGCUGGCGGUAGGCCUAACACAUGCAAGUCGAACGGCAGCACAGGAGAGCUUGCUCCUUGGGUGGCGAGUGGCGGACGGGUGAGGAAUACAUCGGAAUCUACUCUGUCGUGGGGGAUAACGUAGGGAAACUUACGCUAAUACCGCAUACGACCUACGGGUGAAAGCAGGGGAUCUUCGGACCUUGCGCGAUUGAAUGAGCCGAUGUCGGAUUAGCUAGUUGGCGGGGUAAAGGCCCACCAAGGCGACGAUCCGUAGCUGGUCUGAGAGGAUGAUCAGCCACACUGGAACUGGGACACGGUCCAGACUCCUACGGGAGGCAGCAGUGGGGAAUAUUGGACAAUGGGCGCAAGCCUGAUCCAGCCAUACCGCGUGGGUGAAGAAGGCCUUCGGGUUGUAAAGCCCUUUUGUUGGGAAAGAAAUCCAUCUGGUUAAUACCCGGGUGGGAUGACGGUACCCAAAGAAUAAGCACCGGCUAACUUCGUGCCAGCCGCCGCCGUAA
rnacentral:rRNA from 1 species